UGAGGAAUAUUGGUCAAUGGUCGAGAGACUGAACCAGCCAAGUCGCGUGAAGGAUGAAGGCGUUAUGCGUUGUAAACUUCUUUUGCAGGGGAAUAAAGUGCGGUACGCGUUGCCGUUUUGUAUGUACCCUGCGAAUAAGCAUCGGCUAACUCCGUGCCAGCAGCCGCGGUAAUACGGAGGAUGCGAGCGUUAUCCGGAUUUAUUGGGUUUAAAGGGUGCGUAGGCGGGCUGUUAAGUCAGCGGUGAAAGUUUGCAGCUUAACUGUAAAAUUGCCGUUGAAACUGGUAGUCUUGAGUGCAAGUGAGGUAUGCGGAAUGUGUAGUGUAGCGGUGAAAUGCUUAGAUAUUACACAGAACCCCGAUUGCGAAGGCAGCAUACCGGUAUGUAACUGACGCUGAGGCACGAAAGUGUGGGUAUCAAACAGGAUUAGAUACCCUGGUAGUCCACACAGUAAACGAUGAAUACUAAUUGUCGGCGAUAAACAGUCGGUAAUACAGCGAAAGCGUUAAGUAUUCCUCCU
rnacentral:rRNA from 1 species